UACGAAGGGGGCGAGCGUUGUUCGGAUUUACUGGGCGUAAAGGGCGCGCAGGCGGCUCAUUUUGUCAGGCGUGAAAGCCCCGGGCUUAACCUGGGAACUGCGUUUGAUACGGAUGGGCUAGAGUUCGGGAGAGGAGAGUGGAAUUCCCAGUGUAGAGGUGAAAUUCGUAGAUAUUGGGAAGAACACCGGUGGCGAAGGCGUCUCUCUGGACCGAUACUGACGCUGAGGCGCGAAAGCGUGGGGAGCAAACAGG
rnacentral:rRNA from 1 species